UAAGAGUUGAGGAGUAGCCUCCGUUCACUUAUUUUCUUUUGGUGAACCCAUAAAGCUCCAUGGUGUAUAAAAGAAUGGGUGAAUUUUGUAAAGAAUCACGUAUUGUACAUUCUUUAUUUUUGGGUAUACCCCUUGUAUACGGCCAGCUCUUUGGCGAUGUUUAUGACUGAAAUACUCAAAACUAAAACAUCUCUCUUUUUUCUGUUUCUUCAUCAUGUAGCUCAUUAG
rnacentral:misc_RNA from 1 species